rnacentral:rRNA from 1 species
UACGUAGGGUCCGAGCGUUGUCCGGAGUUACUGGGCGUAAAGCGCGCGCAGGCGGCUUCAUAAGUCUGGCGUGAAAGCCCCCGGCUCAACCGGGGAGGGUCGUCGGAGACUGUGGAGCUUGAGGGCGGUAGGGGCUGGUGGAAUUCCCGGUGUAGUGGUGAAAUGCGUAGAGAUCGGGAGGAACACCUGUGGCGAAGGCGGCCAGGUGGGCCGACCCUGACGCUGAGGCGCGAAGGCGUGGGGAGCGAACGGG